AGGAAGUUUCUUCUUGGAGGAGUGUUUCAUUGUCAUCUGGAUCUUUCUAUGACAGUGGGUCAGGAAAAGAGAAUUUCACGGAUCUGAGCAAAUCUCCCCAUAGUCACAGUAAGAAAGUUCAUCCUAAGAAAUCUGGUCGUGAUUCAAGCCAGUACGCAUAUCAUUUUGUUGUAGCUUUCUUUUUCACACUUAAACUGAUGUUUUAAUUUGCAUUUGCUUGUCCAAAGUAAUGAAAAAUGUUUCUUCAUGGCAGAGGCCUUAGCGUUCCAGUGUUGAUUCAGACUAUUAGAAGAUUGACAAAGGAGAAGGUACAAAUGGCUU
rnacentral:lncRNA from 1 species